CCUACGGGGGGCAGCAGUGGGGAAUAUUGGACAAUGGGGGGAACCCUGAUCCAGCCAUGCCGCGUGUGUGAAGAAGGCCCUCGGGUUGUAAAGCACUUUCAGUGAGGAAGAACGCCUGGUGGUGAAUACCCAUCAGGAAAGACAUCACUCACAGAAGAAGCACCGGCUAACUCCGUGCCAGCAGCCGCGGUAAUACGGAGGGUGCGAGCGUUAAUCGGAAUUACUGGGCGUAAAGCGCGCGUAGGUGGCUUGAUAAGCCGGUUGUGAAAGCCCCGGGCUCAACCUGGGAACGGCAUCCGGAACUGUCAAGCUAGAGUGCAGGAGAGGAAGGUAGAAUUCCCGGUGUAGCGGUGAAAUGCGUAGAGAUCGGGAGGAAUACCAGUGGCGAAGGCGGCCUUCUGGACUGACACUGACACUGAGGUGCGAAAGCGUGGGUAGCAAACAGGAUUAGAUACCCCAGUAGUC
rnacentral:rRNA from 1 species